CAACUCCUUUCUCUGGGCCUCAGGUUCCCCAAGGGCAACUCAGGGUGAUGGCUGUUUCCAGAAGCCUGUACGGGGUGCCUGUUGGGGCGGGGCCCACAGGGCUCCCGGCGGGGCAGAGGUGGGGGGUGCCAGCCACGCCCCUGCCCUGCUCCCCGCAAAAGCACCUGUGUGCUCGGGGCAGGGGGCGGCUGCCGCAAGGGUGGGACCCGCGGGUUUCGAGGCUUUCCUGGUGGUGGAGACGCGCCGAGGCCGUUUCCACUCCAAGCCCCUUUUCCAGGUGGUGAGCCGGCUGGGCCUGGACUCCCUGUGCCCCUUCAGCCCUAAGGAGCGGAUCAUCGAGUACCUGGUCCCUGAGCGCGGGCCUGAGCGAGGCCUGGGCAGCAAGUCCCUGCGCGCCUUCGUGGGGGAGGUGGGUGCCCGCUCUGCGGCCCCCGGGGGCGGCUCGGUGGCGGCGGCCG
rnacentral:sRNA from 1 species